rnacentral:rRNA from 1 species
UACGAAAGGAGCAAGUGUUAUUCAGAUUUACUGGGCGUAAAGGGCACGUAGGUGGUUUGUUUAUGUGGAUUAUUAAAUUAUAAAGCAUAACUUUAUAAUGUAGUAUAAACAGCAAAACUAGAGUUAGGUAGAGAGUAGUAGAAUUUCUAAUGUAAAGGUGAAAUUUGAUAAAAUUAGAGAGAAUACCAAUGGCGUAAGCAGCUACCUGGGCCUUAGCUGACACUGAGGUGCGAAGGUAUGGGGAGCAAAUAGG